rnacentral:rRNA from 1 species
CCUACGGGGGGCGGCAGUGGGGAAUAUUGCGCAAUGGGGGAAACCCUGACGCAGCAACGCCGCGUGAAGGAUGAAGGUUUUCGGAUCGUAAACUUCUGUCUUCUGGGAAGAAUAAAUGACGGUACCAGAGGAGGAAGCCACGGCUAACUACGUGCCAGCAGCCCCGGUC